rnacentral:rRNA from 1 species
CGGGGGGAGCAGGCGUUGUUCGGAUUUACUGGGCGUAAAGGGCGCGUAGGCGGCGUCUGCAAGUCGACUGUGAAAUCUCCGGGCUUAACCCGGAAAGGUCAGCCGAUACUGCAGGGCUAGAGUGCAGAAGGGGCAACUGGAAUUCUCGGUGUAGCGGUGAAAUGCGUAGAUAUCGAGAGGAACACCUGCGGCGAAGGCGGGUUGCUGGGCUGACACUGACGCUGAGGCGCGAAAGCUAGGGGAGCGAACGGGAUUAGAUACCCCGGUAGUCCUAGCCUUAAACGAUGAAUGCUUGGUGUCUGGGGUUUUAUAGUCCCCGGGUGCCGUCGCUAACGCUUUAAGCAUUCCGCCUGGGGAGUACGGUCGCAAGACUG